rnacentral:rRNA from 1 species
AUUGAACGCUGGCGGCAGGCUUAACACAUGCAAGUCGAACGAGUGGCGGACGGGUGAGUAAUGCUUGGGAAUCUGGCCUAUGGAGGGGGAUAACGACGGGAAACUGUCGCUAAUACCGCGUACCAUAGGAUGAGCCCAUGUGGGAUUAGGUAGUUGGUGGGGUAAUGGCGUACCAAGCCCACGAUCUCUAGCUGGUCUGAGAGGAUGACCAGCAACACGGGGACGGCGACACGGCCCGGACUCCGACGGGAGGCAGCAGUGGGGAAUAUGACGCAAUGGGGGCAACCUGACGCAGCCAUGCCGCGUGAAUGAAGAAGGCCUUCGGGUUGUAAAGUUCUUUCGGUGACGAGGCGUUAAUCACAGAAGAAGCACCGGCUAACUCCGUGCCAGCAGCCGCGGUAAUUC